UAGUGGCGAACGGGUGAGUAACACGUGGGCAAUCUGCCCUUCACUCUGGGACAAGCCCUGGAAACGGGGUCUAAUACCGGAUAACACUCCUGCCCGCAUGGGUGGGGGUUAAAAGCUCCGGCGGUGAAGGAUGAGCCCGCGGCCUAUCAGCUUGUUGGUGAGGUAGUGGCUCACCAAGGCGACGACGGGUAGCCGGCCUGAGAGGGCGACCGGCCACACUGGGACUGAGACACGGCCCAGACUCCUACGGGAGGCAGCAGUGGGGAAUAUUGCACAAUGGGCGAAAGCCUGAUGCAGCGACGCCGCGUGAGGGAUGACGGCCUUCGGGUUGUAAACCUCUUUCAGCAGGGAAGAAGCGAAAGUGACGGUACCUGCAGAAGAAGCGCCGGCUAACUACGUGCCAGCAGCCGCGGUAAUACGUAGGGCGCAAGCGUUGUCCGGAAUUAUUGGGCGUAAAGAGCUCGUAGGCGGCUUGUCACGUCGGGUGUGAAAGCCCGGG
rnacentral:rRNA from 1 species